UUAGUUAAAGCCAAAAUAAGAGGCAAUUUAUUGUUAAUAAAUUUAUUGAAUUUUAUAUUCUAGCUAAG
rnacentral:tRNA from 1 species